CCAAUAGCGUAUAUUAAAGUUGUUGCAGUUAAAAAGCUCGUAGUUGAAUUUCGGGAUCAGUUCGUCGGUCGUGCCUUUGGUAUGUACUGGUGUUACUGGUUCCUCCCUUCUGACGAACCGUCAUGUCAUUAAUUUGGUGUGGCGGGAAAUCAGGACUGUUACUUUGAAAAAAUUAGAGUGCUUAAAGCAGGCUCGCGCUUGAAUACAUUAGCAUGGGAUAAUGAAAUAGGACGUUCGAUCCUAUUUUGUUGGUUUCUAGGAUUGACGUAAUGAUUAAUAGGGAUAGUUGGGGGCAUUAGUAUUCAAUUGUCAGAGGUGAAAUUCUUGGAUUUAUUGAAGACUAACUACUGCGAAAGCAUUUGCCAAGGAUGUUUUCAUUAAUCAAGAACGAAAGUUAGGGGAUCGAAGACGAUCAGAUACCGUCGUAGUCUUAACCAUAAACUAUGCCGACUAGGGAUCGGAUGAUGUUAAUUUUUUAAUGACUCAUUCGGCGCCUUACG
rnacentral:rRNA from 1 species